CCUACGGGCGGCAGCAGUCGAGAAUCAUUCACAAUGGGGGAAACCCUGAUGGUGCGACGCCGCGUGGGGGAAUGAAGGUCUUCGGAUUGUAAACCCCUGUCAUGUGGGAGCAAAUUAAAAAGAUAGUACCACAAGAGGAAGAGACGGCUAACUCUGUGCCAGCAGCCGCGGUAAUACAGAGGUCUCAAGCGUUGUUCGGAAUCACUGGGCGUAAAGCGUGCGUAGGCUGUUUCGUAAGUCGUGUGUGAAAGGCGCGGGCUCAACCCGCGGACGGCACAUGAUACUGGGAGACUAGAGUAAGGGAGGGGGAACCGGAAUUCGCGGUGUAGCAGUGAAAUGCGUAGAUAUCGAGAGGAACACUCGUGGCGAAGGCGGGUUCCUGGACAUUAACUGACGCUGAGGCACGAAGGCCAGGGGAGCGAAAGGGAUUAGAUACCCCAGUAGUC
rnacentral:rRNA from 1 species